CGAAGCGGGCGGAACAUUGAGGUCCGAACUCUGGGCGCGUGUGUGCAGAUGUCAGUGGUGGGGUCGGUAUUUGGGGCGGCCCGGGCCGGGGGCACCUGCGGGGUGCGGACGUCCGCGGAUUCUGGGAGACGUCGCGGGGAAGGGGAGGCUACAGAGGGAACAGCUAGCUACCCCUGACAUCCAGGUAGAUCCCGGCUCCCAGGAAAGGUUUUAUGUGGUAGAAACUUUGCCUUUUAGUUUGAUAUCCUCUGUCUUCGAACAGCGGGGAUUAAGUCGGUAGGUGAGGUAGUGCAAACAAGUUUGGAAGAGGUGAGCAUCUCUGAAUUAGAAAAACAGAUCUCCCCUCCCUCCCCGUGGAAGUGUGACUAUAAAAACAUUCUUCAGACCUGAAGUGUGGCUCCAGUGGUACGAAGCGAGCCCCCCCCCCCACCCCCCCACGCCGUCAUGGUCCAGCAGGGAAACCGCGUGUAGACUGAAGAAUUGCGGCAGCGUUGACCUGCAUUUUAGUUGACAGUAAGAUUGGUAUUGCAAUUAAUGCGCUAUUUGAAAGGCUGGGUGUGAUGUGUUGACAAUGGUGUAAGUAUUUUUGAACAAAUGUCUAAGAUUUUUCAAGUUUUUUUUUUUUUUUUUUUUUUUUUUUUAGCACAGCUUGUUUCCCCCGUGUCUCGUAUCAUCUUUUACUAUAUGAAGAGAAGGUUCUCCAAAGCUGUAAUUAGGUGUACAUUACACAAGAGUACUUUCCCUUUAAGAAUCCAGCUGUGUUGUUUUGGCAAUUGCCAAGUGCUCCAGUUGUCAGUUUUAAAAUCUGUUACCUUGGCAGUACUUGAACAGUCUGUGGAAAAGGAAUUGCCUUUUGUGAAAAAGGAACAAAGAAGAGUUUUCUGCAAGGAUCAUAUUAAGUGCACUUUUUUGCUGAUACAUCAUUUCUAGUAAGACAUUUUCAUUUUUCUAUGUUAUGAAGUAAAUAAUUGAAUUUUUUCUUUUUUUAAAAUCAGACUGUCUUGUGAGCUUUGAAUUGCAGUCUUUUUGGAGUUUAUUUUGAGGUUUAUUGUAGAUGAAUUAAGGAAAUUUGUAAAGUCUACUUGAAGUUUAUUGUAUUAUACAGUGACAGUUUCUCAUAUAUUUUUUCUGGUAUUGCCAAGAUAAUCCCACACUUUUUCAUCUUACCUACUUCAUCUUCCAUAUCAAUUACCUUUACUUAAAAAAAGAAAAAUUCUGUCGUUCCAAUUUUAGUAUAUGUGCUGCCAAAGCAAGCACAAAAGAAAAAAAUUCUAAAGUAAGUAGUCCAUAUUUACUGUGACAAUAAAUAGGAGAAAGGGAGGGUUUGAGGAUCUGAGUUAGACAUUAGCUGAGAAAGAUAUUCAGAUGAAAGACAAAGCGAGAAAAUCUAGCCAUGUUUCUUGAAAUUCCUUAGGAAGGAUGAAAGAAAAAAACUAAGCAGAGGUAGGAGAUUUUUUUUUUUUAAAUGCAGGCUUCUGUUUGUUACUUUGAAUUUGUCACCUUAAACAUUU